rnacentral:lncRNA from 1 species
AAUAAUCACUACUGCUAGAUAGAAUAAUGUCCAGCUAUCAGUUACAGGUCUAUAUAUUCAGGCGAUGUUGGCAAUUCUUUUGACAUUUAGUUUUAGUUUUCUGCUUGUAUAAUUCUUUAAAUGCAAUCUGCUAUUUCAGAGUACUUUUUCCCCAUCUCCUCCUUCAAACUUUUCACAAUCUCUACUCUGAGUUUUUUUCUUCUUCUCUUCUGUCUUCUUACAAUUUCAUGUAUGAUUCUCUCUCAAAUAUUG